ACGAACGCUGGCGGCACGCCUAACACAUGCAAGUCGAACGCUUGUCACUCAGCAAUGGGUGGCGGGAGUGGCGGACGGGUGAGUAACGCGUGGGAACCUGCCUCGAGGUGCGGGACAACUCCGGGAAAUCGGGGCUAAUACCGCAUGAUGCCGUGGCGACACGGCUAAAGAUUUAUCGCCUUGAGAGGGGCCCGCGUCGGAUUAGGUAGUUGGUGGGGUAACGGCCUACCAAGCCUUCGAUCCGUAGCUGGUCUGAGAGGAUGGCCAGCCACACUGGGACUGAGACACGGCCCAGACUCCUACGGGAGGCAGCAGUGGGGAAUCUUGGACAAUGGGGGCAACCCUGAUCCAGCGAUGCCGCGUGGGUGAUGAAGGCCUUCGGGUUGUAAAGCCCUUUCGGCGGGGACGAUAGUGACGGUACCCGCAGAAGAAGCCUCGGCUAACUCCGU
rnacentral:rRNA from 1 species